GACGAACGCUGGCGGCGUGCUUAACACAUGCAAGUCGAACGGAAAGGCCCUGCUUGCAGGGUACUCGAGUGGCGAACGGGUGAGUAACACGUGGGUGAUCUGCCCUGCACUUCGGGAUAAGCUUGGGAAACUGGGUCUAAUACCGGAUAGGAGCCAUCUUUAGUGUGGUGGUUGGAAAGUUUUUUCGGUGUAGGAUGAGCUCGCGGCCUAUCAGCUUGUUGGUGGGGUAAUGGCCUACCAAGGCGGCGACGGGUAGCCGGCCUGAGAGGGUGUACGGCCACAUUGGGACUGAGAUACGGCCCAGACUCCUACGGGAGGCAGCAGUGGGGAAUAUUGCACAAUGGGCGCCAGCCUGAUGCAGCGACGCCGCGUGGGGGAUGAAGGCCUUCGGGUUGUAAACUCCUUUCGCUAGGGACGAAGCUUUUUUGUGACGGUACCUAGAUAAGAAGCACCGGCUAACUACGUG
rnacentral:rRNA from 1 species